UAGGGAAUCUUCGGCAAUGGGGGCAACCCUGACCGAGCAACGCCGCGUGAGUGAAGAAGGUUUUCGGAUCGUAAAGCUCUGUUGUAAGAGAAGAACGAGUGUGAGAGUGGAAAGUUCACACUGUGACGGUAACUUACCAGAAAGGGGCGGCUAACUACGUGCCAGCAGCCGCGGUAAUACGUAGGUCCCGAGCGUUAUCCGGAUUUAUUGGGCGUAAAGCGAGCGCAGGCGGUUAGAUAAGUCUGAAGUUAAAGGCUGUGGCUUAACCAUAGUACGCUUUGGAAACUGUUUAACUUGAGUGCAGAAGGGGAGAGUGGAAUUCCAUGUGUAGCGGUGAAAUGCGUAGAUAUAUGGAGGAACACCGGUGGCGAAAGCGGCUCUCUGGUCUGUAACUGACGCUGAGGCUCGAAAGCGUGGGGAGCAAACAGGAUUAGAUACCCUGGUAGUCCACGCCGUAAACGAUGAGUGCUAGGUGUUGGGUCCUUUCCGGGACUCAGUGCCGCAGCUAACGCAUUAAGCACUCCGCCUGGGGAGUACGACCGCAAGGUUG
rnacentral:rRNA from 1 species